rnacentral:tRNA from 1 species
GCAGUCGUGGCCGAGUGGUUAAGGCAAUUGACUAAAAAUCCAUUGGGGUCUCCCCGCACAGGUUCAAAUCCUGUCGACUGCG